UUGCUUUUUUGGUUCAUAAGAGUGAUCAUUGGAUGCUCAUGCCAUUGAGUGACAUGUGAUUCUAACAAACCUUGUUAGGAUGUUGGCACAUUACCUAUCUGACA
rfam:Neotoma lepida isolate 417 scaffold_314, whole genome shotgun sequence.